rnacentral:sRNA from 1 species
UGAUGACUUCAGAGGGUAGGAGUGGUCCAGCUCCCCUGUUGGAAUAUUGAGGAGAUGGGCUCCUUUUGCCCCAGUGUGUCCUGUGUCUAUCUUGUUCUUACAGCUCAGGAGCGAAGAUCUGAUCGCUGAAUUUGCCCAAGUCACAAAUUGGUCCAGCUGCUGCUUGCGUGUCUUUGCAUGGCACCCCCACACCAACAAGUUUGCAGUGGCCCUGCUAGAUGACUCAGUCCGUGUGUAUAAUGCCAGCAGCACCAUAGUCCCCUCCCUGAAGCACCGGCUGCAGCGAAAUGUGGCGUCUCUGGCCUGGAAGCCCCUUAGUGCCUCUGUCUUGGCUGUGGCCUGCCAGAGCUGCAUUCUUAUCUGGACCCUGGACCCUACCUCCUUGUCUACCCGACCCUCUUCUGGCUGUGCCCAAGUGCUGUCUCACCCUGGGCAUACACCUGUUACCAGCUUGGCCUGGGCCCCCAGUGGGGGGCGGCUGCUCUCAGCUUCACCCGUGGAUGCUGCUAUCCGGGUAUGGGAUGUCUCAACAGAGACCUGUGUCCCCCUUCCCUGGUUUCGAGGAGGUGGGGUGACCAACCUGCUCUGGUCCCCAGACGGCAGCAAAAUCCUGGCUACCACUCCUUCAGCUGUCUUUCGAGUCUGGGAGGCCCAGAUGUGGACUUGUGAGAGGUGGCCUACUCUAUCAGGGCGCUGUCAGACUGGCUGCUGGAGCCCAGAUGGCAGCCGACUGCUGUUCACUGUAUUGGGAGAGCCACUGAUUUACUCC